GAGCACGUAGGUGGGUUUGUAAGUCAGAUGUGAAAGCCUUCUGUUCAACGGAAGAAUUGCAUCUGAAACUACAAGUCUUGAGUGUAGGAGGGGAGAAUGGAACUUCUGGUGGAGCGGUGAAAUGCGUAGACAUCAGAAGGAACGCCGGCGGCGAAAGCGAUUCUCUGGCCUAUUACUGACACUCAGUGUGCGAAAGCUAGGGGAGCAAACGGGAUUAGAUACCCCGGUAGUCCUAGCCGUAAACGAUGGGCGCUAAGUAGAGGGAAUUAUCGAUGUUCUCUCUGCCGUAGCUAACGCAUUAAGUGCCCCGCCUGGGGAGUACGGCCGCAAGGCUAAAACUCAAAAGAAUUGACGGGGGCUCGCACAGGCGGUGGAGCAUGUGGCUUAAUUCGAUGCAACGCGAAGAACCUUACCGGGGCUUGACAUGGUAGAAGUAGGAACCCGAAAGGGUAACGAACGGUAUCCAGUCCGUAGCUAUCACAGGUGUUGCAUGGCUGUCGUCAGCUCGUGUCGUGAGACGUUGGGUUAAGUCCCCUAACGAGCGAAACCCUUGUUUUUAGUUACCAGCGGGUUGUGCCGGGUACUCUAGAAAGACUGCCGUCGUCAAGACGGAGGAAGGUGGGGAUGACGUCAAGCCAUCAUGGCCCUUAUGCCCCGGGCUGCACACGUGCUACAAUGGUCGGUACAAACGGAAGCGUAGCCGAGAGGUGAAGCGAAUCC
rnacentral:rRNA from 1 species